AGACCAAUGUUUGGAAUCUGCCAAUGUUCUAGCCCUCGAAACCCCAGCUGCCCUUCUGCUUCAACAAGGGUAUAAAGCAAUUAUAAUUUCAGGAGGUCUCAACUCAGUUUACGCAGCGGAUGCCCCACUAUACGACCCAACAAUCUUUACUUGCGAUCUUCCAGUGCCGGGGAUUUGUUAUGCAUGCAAUUACUCAACAAGGAAUUAGGUGGAACGGUGGAGAGAAAAGAUGUUUGCGAAGAUGGGCAAUUCGAGAUCCAAGUAGAAACGGAGUGUCCAUUGUUUAAAGGCUUAGAGACUCGACAAACAGUAUUACUGACCCAUGGUGACAGCGUAGACAAGGUUGCAGAAGGGUUGCGUUGCGUCGCAAAAUCUUCGCGUCAUAUUAUUUCCGCUAUUGCUGAUACUGAACGCCGUCUUUACGGAGUCUAGUUCCAUGAUUUGACUGAAAACGGGCGAAAAAUGUUGCAUAACUUCUUGUUCGACAUUUGUGGAUUGCAAGGAGCAAUGGGCUAUCCCGCAUCUGCAGCACCUACACCUGCACCAGUGAACUAUCCUGCACUUCCAGCGAUGCCAAUUUCUGCGUCAUCGCCUCUUACGAAUCCUCCCCAUUCAAUCAGUGCCGCACUUCCUGUAACUGGGUCAAUCCGCGAUUUCCCUGUCUCCCCUUUUUGACCAAUCCGCCAAGACCGCCUGGGGUAGUCAAGGUCAAAAAGGGGAGACAGGGAAAAGGGAUGAGUGAAAAUGGCCGCCGAAGCCAAUAUUUUACAUCAAAAUAGGGAGAUUUCAAACAAUUAAAUCGGCACUAUGGAGAAUUUAACCCUAGCGAAAAAAAUAGAGCAUAUA